rnacentral:lncRNA from 1 species
GAACUUGUCAAGGAGCAGGAGGGAUGGCCGCACGCAUCCCUUGCUACAUCCUGGGAGGCUGCUACUGCUUCAUCCUGCUGCUCCUGCAGCUGCUCUUCCACCUGUGCUGGCUGCGGGGCAGCCGCCAGCAGCAGGGCAGACGUGGGGAAGCCUGCGGCUGCUGCUGGGGAGAGGGGAGCCAGCGUGCGGGAGCAGCCAGGGCCGGCACCCCAGGCUGGCAGCAGCAGCCGCCCCGCAGUGCCCAGGCAGAAUGAAGGCGCUCAGCUGGUGGCUCAGGGCUGCUUUUCCUCCUGGCACCUGCCCCUCUGCGGGACAAACCGGGGUCCUGGCCGCUGCCUGUCCCCAGGCACCGUCCUGCCUCCAGCGCACAACCACUCCCCACACUCACAUACCCCUUCUGUUAAAUUCCCACUCCCAUGGGCAAAUAAAAACCUUUCCUCUGGCAUCUCUGUCUCCAAAGUGCCUGGCAUGCGGCUGCAGAACCACCUGAAGCAGUUCCAGCAGCAAAGCGAGGGCCGGAAGAGAUUCCCAAAGCUUCUGGCCUGCCCCAGGAGGACCCAGGGGCUGCUUUGGUGGGGCAGGGGCUGCUUGGCUGCUGAGGCUGAAGGGUGACAGCUGAAGGAAGGCCCGGUGAGCUGCAUCCCCUGGAAAAUCCCCCCAAAAACGGGGAUGCGAUGGACGCGUUUUGCUGGCAGCUCCCUGCUGCGUGCGUGGAAGGGGUGCUGGGGCAGAAGCAGCGCCCACGGUGGGGGCACAGGGGACACCCCGCAGCCCCCCUCUCUCCCCACAGCCCCACAGUGUGCAGGUGGCACAGGAAGGAGCCGGGGCUCGCCCGCCCGCAGCGAACCCCACGGCGCCGAGGGGCUGAGCGAGAGCCUCCGACUUCCUCCCGGCCCAGGCGAGCGCAGCAGCCACAGGCGAUGUGUCCCGGCCGGCGCUGCUGGGGCCUCGGCUCCCUCCUGCUGCUGCUGCUGCUCGGGAGAAACCUGGGCUUCCUCGUGGAAAUCCCGCAGGAUGCAGUCAGUGGCACCGUGGGGCAGUCCGUGCUCCUGCCCGUCUCCUACACAUUCAACAGCUCCCCUCGCUUCCCAGUGUCGAUUCAGUGGAUGUUUGGUCACCCCUCACAAGUAAUCAUCAUCGGCACAUUGCUGGACUGCUCCCUGGGUGCUGGGGGGGCUCCCAAGAACUGUACCGCAAAAUGUUUCCCCAGUGCUUCACAUUCGGGCCAUGUUGAGCUCUUCCCCGAGAACGCAUCCCUGCUGCUGCGGGACCUGAGGCUCAGUGACAGCGGGGUGUACAACGUCAGCUUUGUACAGCAACAACAAAGCAGGCACAUCACCCUGACCGUGCUCGAGCAGCCUGUCCCCACAGGCCCUUCCAGUGAAGGAACUUGUCAAGGAGCAGGAGGGAUGGCCGCACGCAUCCCUUGCUACAUCCUGGGAGGCUGCUACUGCUUCAUCCUGCUGCUCCUGCAGCUGCUCUUCCACCUGUGCUGGCUGCGGGGCAGCCGCCAGCAGCAGGGCAGACGUGGGGAAGCCUGCGGCUGCUGCUGGGGAGAGGGGAGCCAGCGUGCGGGAGCAGCCAGGGCCGGCACCCCAGGCUGGCAGCAGCAGCCGCCCCGCAGUGCCCAGGCAGAAUGAAGGCGCUCAGCUGGUGGCUCAGGGCUGCUUUUCCUCCUGGCACCUGCCCCUCUGCGGGACAAACCGGGGUCCUGGCCGCUGCCUGUCCCCAGGCACCGUCCUGCCUCCAGCGCACAACCACUCCCCACACUCACAUACCCCUUCUGUUAAAUUCCCACUCCCAUGGGCAAAUAAAAACCUUUCCUCUGGCA